rnacentral:rRNA from 1 species
UACGUAGGGACCAAGCGUUGUUCGGAUUUACUGGGCGUAAAGGGCGUGUAGGCGGCAAUUCAAGUCAUCUGUGAAAUCUCCGGGCUUAACUCGGAACGGUCAGAUGAUACUGCUUUGCUAGAGUACAGAAGGGGCAAUCGGAAUUCUUGGUGUAGCGGUGAAAUGCGUAGAUAUCAAGAGGAACACCUGAGGUGAAGACGGGUUGCUGGGCUGAUACUGACGCUGAGGCGCGAAAGCUAGGGUAGCAAACGGG